rnacentral:rRNA from 2 species
ACAUGCAAGUCGAACGGUAACAGGCCGCUGGGAUCCCUUCGGGGUGACCUUGGCGCUGACGAGUGGCGAACGGGUGAGUAAUGCUUGGGAAUCUGCCCAGUAGUGGGGGACAACCCGGUGAAAACCGGGCUAAUACCGCAUACGUCCUACGGGAGAAAGUGGGGGAUCUUCGGACCUCACGCUAUUGGAUGAGCCCAAGUCGGAUUAGCUUGUUGGUGGGGUAAAGGCCUACCAAGGCGACGAUCCGUAGCUGGUCUGAGAGGACGAUCAGCCACACUGGGACUGAGACACGGCCCAGACUCCUACGGGAGGCAGCAGUGGGGAAUAUUGGACAAUGGGCGCAAGCCUGAUCCAGCAAUGCCGCGUGUGUGAAGAAGGCCUGCGGGUUGUAAAGCACUUUCAGUGGGGAAGAAAAAGUCGAGCUUAAUACACUCGAUUCUUGACGUUACCUACAGAAGAAGCACCGGCCAACUCCGUGCCAGCAGCCCGCGGUAAUACGGAGGGUGCAAGCCGUUAAUCGGAAUUACUGGGCGUAAA